rnacentral:rRNA from 1 species
UACAGAGGGGGCAAGCGUUGUUCGGAAUUACUGGGCGUAAAGGGCGCGUAGGCGGCCUUCUAAGUCGAACGUGAAAUCCCCGGGCUCAACCCGGGAACUGCGUCCGAGACUGAAAGGCUCGAAUCCGGGAGAGGGAUGUGGAAUUCCAGGUGUAGUGGUGAAAUGCGUAGAUAUCGGGAGGAACACCUGCGGCGAAGGCGGCUUCCUGGACUGCAACUGACGCUGAGGCGCGAAAGCUAGGGGAGCAAACAGG